GUGUUGUAGGAAAGGAGAGAAGGUUGGCACUCCCCUUGACAAGGAUGGAAGAGGCUCUCGGGCCUGUACAACAUGCAUAAGGUUAAAAAAAAAAAAAAAAGAAUAAUGGCAUUAUUUU
rnacentral:ncRNA from 1 species